UACAGAGGUCUCAAGCGUUGUUCGGAUUCAUUGGGCGUAAAGGGUGUGUAGGUGGCGCCGUUAGUCGGGUGUGAAAUUUCGGAGCUUAACUCCGAAACUGCAUUCGAUACUGCGGUGCUUGAGGACUGGAGAGGAGACUGGAAUUCAUGGUGUAGCAGUGAAAUGCGUAGAUAUCAGGAGGAACACCUGCGGUGUAGACGGCUUUCUGGACCAUUGCUGACGCUGAGACACGAAAGCGUGGGUAGCAAACAGG
rnacentral:rRNA from 1 species